rnacentral:rRNA from 1 species
GCCAGACUCCUACGGGAGGCAGCAGUGGGGAAUAUUGCACAAUGGGCGAAAGCCUGAUGCAGCAACGCCGCGUGAAGGAAGAAGGGUUUCGGCUCGUAAACUUCUAUUAACAGGGACGAAAGAAAUGACGGUACCUGAAUAAGAAGCCCCGGCUAACUCCGUGCCAGCAGCCGCGGUAAUACGGAGGAUGCGAGCGUUAUCCGGAUUUAUUGGGUUUAAAGGGUGCGUAGGCGGACGCUUAAGUCAGCGGUAAAAUUGCGGGGCUCAACCUCGUCGAGCCGUUGAAACUGGGUGCCUUGAGUGGGCGAGAAGUACGCGGAAUGCGUGGUGUAGCGGUGAAAUGCAUAGAUACCACGCAGAACUCCGAUUGCGAAGGCAGCGUACCGGCGCCCAACUGACGCUGAAGCACGAAGGCGUGGGUAUCGAACAGGAUUAGAUACCCGGGUA